GCCCUGGUGGCUAAAUGGUUAAGCACUCAGCUGCUAACUGAAAGGUUGGUGGUUCAAACCCACCCAGUGGCU
rnacentral:tRNA from 1 species